GUUCUAUCAGCUUUUAGAUCAUUGUUAGGUGUUUUUGCUCUGUUGUUAGGAGAAUAAAUUUUUAAGAUUGUUAUGUGUUUUUGAAUAUUCACUGCUUUAUCAUUAUGUAAUAUCCCUCUUUUCCCCUUGUAUACAGACAUGAUGGUAUUCACUAGUGGCCCACUUUUAGUUCUGGACAAGCAACGCCACAAAAUAGAUCACACUAUGUCGGGCUUAAAGAGGCAAAGUUAGAGUGAGAUGAGCAGAAGUUUCCUGCUGUUUUCCUCUCCUGCCACACCACCCAUUUUUCAGCCCUCCCCACAGCCCCAGUGAGCUGUGUUCUCACUGUCCCACAGGGUAGCUGCUGCUUUGCUCCCCCAGGUACCUUUUCAGGGGCUCAUGAGUUGGAGCAGACAUAGACCACCCCAAGGCUAGUGUGACAGAGGAAUCCUUAAAGCUGACAUCUGAACAAUUAACUUCUUUUCUUGAUAUGAAUAAGGAAAUCAAUACUGAGAACAACUUGAAUGUGAUUUAGGUUUUACAAGUUUUACAAGAUUAAAUGUGGCCUCACAUUAUUGGUUUUAUUUACCUACCAUUUUUCUUGCUUAACAAGUCUAUAUUUCGCUUUUUUAAAAAACUUUCCUUAGGAAUAUAAAAGACACUCAAAUGCCGAUUGUCAAUAUCUGGGGAAAAGAAUGGACAUCUGAAAAUAGCACUGGGUUUCUGCUAACUUGUGGCAGCGAAUAAGCUGUAAGUCACGGUUAUGCCACCCAUCCUGUGAGUUUUUAAAUCAAAUUUUACUGGUAAUUUCGUGUUUCUGAUAGUGAGAUUUAAAGUUCACGGUUCUCUUACUAUCUUCCAGGAGUCCACCCUUUACCCCAUGCUAGGCAGGCUGCAGAGGAAUAAAAGGGAAGUUUUAUAUUUUAUGCAUCGUAUUUUUAUUGAUCAAACUUCCUAUCUUUCAGAAGAGUCGGAAAGUUUUACCUUAACUACUUGCGAUGCAAACUUGCAUCCAGCCUUUACGCAGAGGGAGGCAGAAGUGCUAACCAGGGACAUUUUUAAUGUGACUAAAAUGCUGCUGUCUCACCUUUAGCCUUGCAUCUGAGAGAAGAGGGAAUUGAAUUUAUUGCAGAUCAUUCUUUUGAAUCAAUCUAAAAGCAAGACUGAGAGAAAUGUAUUCGUGGUAAUGAAGGUUUUCUGGUGACAAACACCUAACACUUCCAUGAUUAAUUUAGUAUUAGCAUUCAUUAAUAUUUAUUAAACACCUACUGAACUUCCAAUGGACACUUUAUGGAGGUGAUGCUUCUCUAGGACACUCAUAUCAACAACAUAUUUGUCACCCUGGCAUCUAGGGCAAUUCUGGAAUGCUCCUAAAUCCAAUAAUGUCAUGAUAAAAUUGCCAGUAAACUCUAGACACAUACUGUAAAGGCUCUAAGUUCCCAGGACCGGCGAUGGGUAGUCGCCUAUUUGCAGGCACACCAUGUACUCCUUGCUGGGCAAUCCACCGAAUUUGUUACUUUGAUUGCUUGGGUACUUUCUGCCACUAUUAAAGACCAGUUGAUUCUAUAACCCCAGGCUGCCUAUGAUGUAGCCCAAGAUUGCCUUUGGCAAACCAUUCCUGCCAAUCACCUUCUUUGUGGGAGACUCAUGCCAUCAUGCCCGUUACCUGCCCCUCGAGUGUACCCCAUGCUGGCUCCCUCGCCUUUCUAAGGCUUAUUGCAAUGCUAGCUCUGCUCUUUUUAAAAACUCAACUGUCCUGUACCUUGUUUACUUACUUCAGGGCUAUUAGGUCUUGUCAACUGACAGCCUAUUUAACUUUUAGACAGUCUUCUCAAUGCAUCUCAUAAAGGAGAAAAGGGCUAUUAAAGUCUUGUGAUGGGCAGUGCUAGAAAUAAAUGGAGCUCUUUGGCUGCAAAGGCAGGAGGCUGUUCUAAGAUUUCUGUACGGCCACAUUUAGAAAGUCAACAGUUAGGAGUAGAUGAAGCCCGCAGUAUUUUUAGUGUGUUAAAACAGCUACACAUAGCAAAUCCCGCCUGUGCUCUACCGUUAGAUGGUUAUUCUAAAUGGCCUUGAGGCUGGAGGGAUGGCUCUAGGGAGGGGCUCGGUGGACCUCCACUGCUGCCAUCUGACCAGCACAUUGCAGCAGACUCCGCUGGUCCCUGGCCCAUUUCCUCUUGGCAUUGGCCAUCUCUGUGGCUAUCAGCCUGACUUUCAACUGCUAGCACCUACGUUGGUUGCCGAGAGCUUUUUCUGUACUCUGUCUGGGUGUGUGGCGGGCUGGAAGUACCAUAGAAUCUAUGCCUCCACGGGCAACCCUAGAGAACUGACCACUGGACCUUGGCAGAUAAGUACCCCAGCCCUCAAGCCUAGGAUGAGAUAACCUUCAGCGGCAUGUUCCACCCUGUCCUUCUGAGUUCCCUGUGCCCACACUGCCAACUUAAUAGUGCACCCUGUAUUGGCUUCCCUUCCCUUCUGUGUCUUGUGGGGCAGUCAUGGGAAAGCCCUGGCAGAACUUCAACUACACAGGGCAAAACUGACCGAGGGCCCCUGCUGCUGUGCUUCCAUGGCAGCGUUUGUGUGAGGUCACACCGCCCUGCUCCCAGCCAAUGGUGGAAUUUUGCAGGGAUAGCCAAUGGCGGAAUUUUGCAGGGAUAGCCAAUGGCGGAAUUUUGCAGGGAUAGCCAAUGGCGGAAUUUUGCAGGGAUAGCCAAUGGUGGAAUUUUGCAGGGAUAGCCAAUGGUGGAAUUUUGCAGGGAUAGCCAAUGGUGGAAUUUUGCAGGGAUACCCAGCACAGGCCUCUUCCUGACGGGUGUGGGACCGUGCUGAUAGCCAGCUCUGGUUCAAGGACUUCCUCAUAUCUUAAAAGUCACCCAAGCUUUUCUCUCCCCUUCCGCUGGGAUCAGACUUAUAAUAGGUCUGGUAAUGUCCCUGUUUUCCUUCACACUUGUAUUUUCCCUGACCAGGUCCCUUCCCUGUUUAAUCCCAACAAGGUGUCUGUUUCUUGAAGAACGAGCACUAAUGCAUCUCAAUGUCCUGCCCUCCUAGUAGUGUUCCCGUUGUCACCUUCCCACUUAACUACUUAUUUGCAGUAAUCCUUGAUUUAGAGUCUAUUUCUAGGGAGAACCCUGAACCAAGACACACUGGGAGGCACAAGCUAACCACCGUAUCCUUAGCUUAAUUUUAUCAUUUUAUAAAGUUAUCUAGUAAUUAGAAGUAGAGGCAGCCUCAGAUGAGAUACAGCCCAGCACACUCAUGUUGCAUGUGAAGGAUGAGAGAAAUGAUUUCACCUCUCAGUUGAGGCAGAGGCAGGAAUAGAAGAUGACUUAAGAUAAUUAUUGUGAACUGAAGUAUUAUACAGUGAUGACCUAUAUUAUCAAAGGAAUUAUUCCAACCGAUCAAUACAAAAUAAUUUGAAUUUGCAGCUCUCUUAUAGCAAUAUUCUUAAGCCAACCAGUAAAUUGUAAAUCCCAGGGGUAUAAGACCGAUUGAUUUUUUAGAUUAUAUGUGCACCAGAGUCUGGAGUCUAGGUAGGUAAAAGUUUACUCAAAUAUACACAACUAUUUUCAAAAUAUAUGAAUAACAUUGUUAACGAAAUUAGUAUUUCAUUAGUAAAACAUUUAUUUUAAUUCAGUUUCUAUCAUCCCAGCCAGCAUAUGCCACUUGUUAAUCCACUCUCUGAUAAGGUGCUAUGAAUUCUUGUAACAUUUGCAGAGGGGUAUCAUAUUAGGAAAUUUUGGAAAAUGGUGAUCCGCUCCAUUCCCUUGCCUUAAAUAAACCAUGCAAUUGUGAAUAGGUGAAACCUUCCCUGCUGUCUUUUUCCUUGACUCGUAAAAUCCCAAAUAAUAAUUAAGUUGUAUUGCUCUGAUUACAUGGGACUCCUGAAGAUGUAUGUGUACCUUUUGAAUUGAUUGUGUCAGUUAAUUCAAUGUACCAAAUUAUUAUUUCCAAAACUCAUGGAAUGGACUUUGUCAUAUAAAACAUUCAUAUCAGAUUCGUCGAGAAUGGCCACUUUUUUUUUCCUUACUGGUUUUUCUCUAUCCACCAUCCUCCCAUGCCCCUUCUAUAUGCCAAGUCUAUAUCCCUCCCACUGCCCCAGCCCCAACCCCCGGCUCUGUGCCAGGCACACUGCUUCCCACAUUUGGGACAGCCUCCUCCUCCCAUUCCGGCAAAUACUGCCUGCCCCUUUCUUUUCUUUGAAACUCCAGGUUCACACCCAGUUCCUCAAUAAGACCUGCCCAUGUCAGCACAGACAAUUGUACUGGCUCCAAUACACUAAUUCCCCAGGAAUUUAUAUCAAAACAUGCUAUGGAUGGUCAACAUACACACCUCACUUAAAUACAACUCUCCGCAUUAAGAGGCUGCCUCUCUUAAAAUAAUCCCCACUGUACUCAUCGGAAGAACUGAAAUAUUUCAAUGCCCAGAGGUACAUUAUGUAUACAUUUCAGGAAAAAUAAAUGAAUCAUUGCAUUUGAAAAAUAAAGCCAUUGAGGCUCUUGUGUGUGUGUGUGUGUGUGUGUGUGUGUGUGUGUGUGUGUGUGUGAGACUUUGGUGGAAAUGGCUAGACUUCUAGUCUGGUUAAUGAUUCUUGAAUUAUAUUCUAAAGCUUCAUUAGUUAGAACCUUAUUCAUUUAGCAAAUAUCGGGGCUAGUUUACUUUUAUAUUCUCUAUAAAGAAGGGGUUGGUGAAGCAAAUCACUAGUGUAAACAAAACUGAACUACUUAAGAGAAAAAUUGUUUUCAAGCAAUUUAGCAUAUCAGUUAUCUUUCUUAUAUUGAAUACUCAUAACAUAAAAAUUUACCAUUUUAACCAUUUUAAACUGUAGGAUUUAGUAGUGUUAAAUACCCUCACAAUGAUGUGUAGACAUCACUACUAUCUAGUUCCAGAGCUUUUUCAUCAUACCAGAUGGAAACUCUAACCCCAUCUUUCUGAUUGUGAAGACCCUCCUUUCAAAGUCUGUAAGAGCUGCAGCACAGUUUGUAACAGUAAGAGCUGGAAACAGCCUAAAUGUGCUUUACCGGGAGAGCAGAUAAGGAAAAUUUGGUGAAAACACAUCGAGUGUUUUGCAGGAGAUUCAGCUCCAGUGUCAUUUUCUUGUGUUCUGAAAGUUCAGCAGCGAGCACCCGGGAGACGGUUGGUUUGGCUUGUGUUUCUGCCUUGGGUUUUCUGGGACUAACCACCCAGCGAAUUCCACAAUCUCUGCUAAAUGGUGCUCCUAGCCGCGGAGGACGCAGGACAGCCCAAGGCGGACCGGCUGUCUCUGUGAGCGACGACAGAGCUGCAGACCCUGGUGGGAGACAGGGUGCUAUGAACACAGCAGGGCACCAGGAUGCUUGCUGCUGGAGCCACCCGAGGGGUGUUUCCGUGUGGCACUAGGGACUUGUGGCCGCCACUUUGAUUUGUAGUGGUGAGCUGUCAUCGCCAGUAACGGGUCCAUGAUAACAUUUAAAAUAAAGUUGAAAAUUCACUGAA